rnacentral:rRNA from 1 species
CCUACGGGUGGCAGCAGUGAGGAAUAUUGGUCAAUGGGCGCGAGCCUGAACCAGCCAUGUCGCGUGAAGGAAGACUGCUCUACGGGUUGUAAACUGCUUUUAUAAGGGAGUAAAGUGAGGUACGUGUGCCGUUUUGUAAGUAUUUUAUGAAUAAGGAUCGGCUAACUCCGUGCCAGCAGCCGCGGUAAUACGGAGGAUUCGAGCGUUAUCCGGAUUUAUUGGGUUUAAAGGGUGCGUAGAUGGUUCGAUAAGUCAGUGGUGAAAGUCCGCGGCUCAACCCCGGAACUGCCUUUGAUACUGGCAGGCUUGAGUUUAGUUGCGGUAGGCGGAAUGCAUGGUGUAGCGGUGAAAUGCUUAGAGAUCACAAAGAACACCGAUUGCGAAGGCAGCUUACUAAACUGCGACUGACAUUGAUGCACGAAAGCGUGGGUAGCAAACAGGAUUAGAUACCCGUGUAGUC